UCUGAUGGUGGGGUAAACCGUGUCAGCUGCGAAUAGAGACUCGAAUCUGGUUCCAGAGCACUGAUAAACACGCCGAGUGGCACCAUGUGGAGCCCGGGGACGCGGAUGUGGCGACGGCUCUGUGCUGCAUGCUUCUGGAAACAUUUGUGCACACUGCGAGAGGUCUUAACGUGUGUGUGAGUGGCAGCGCGACCUCCUGUGAAGAAUGCCUUCUGAUUCACCCCAGUUGCGCCUGGUGCGCACAAGAGGAGUUUGGGAGGGGACGGACUCUGACAUCCCGAUGUGAUUAUAGUCAAACCUGCAGAAGAGGGGCUGCGAGGCGCGGU